GAUGAACGCUAGCUACAGGCUUAACACAUGCAAGUCGAGGGCAGCGCAGUGUAGCAAUACAUGGGCGGCGACCGGCGCACGGGUGCGUAACGCGUAUCCAACCUUCCCGUUACUCAGGGAUAGCCUUCCGAAAGGGAGAUUAAUACCUGAUGGUGUUGAAAUUCCGCAUGUUAUUUCAACUAAAGAUUUAUCGGUAACGGAUGGGGAUGCGUGACAUUAGGUAGAUGGCGGGUAACGGCCACCAUGCCUACGAUGUCUAGGGGUUCUGAGAGGAAGGUCCCCCACACUGGAACUGAGACACGGUCCAGACUCCUACGGGAGGCAGCAGUGAGGGAAUAUUGGUCAAUGGUCGGAAGACUGAACCAGCCAAGUAGCGUGAAGGAUGAAGGGUUCUAUGGAUUGUAAACUUCUUUAUACGGGAAUAAAACCUCCCACGUGUGGGAGCUUGUAUGUACCGUAUGAAUAAGCAUCGGCUAA
rnacentral:rRNA from 1 species